AUGCUUUAUCUUCUGCAGAGGCAUCGCGAUGUGCUGAGGCUGCAUGGAGGAGGCUGGAAGGUGCCCCUGUUACCUGGGCAAUUUGUGAGCUUCGUGUUACAAAGUGAUGUGCCCUGGACUUUCAGCAUGUGUUUGAGGGGAAGGAGAGUCUCACACAAAUCAGAAAAUUAAAGAUUUUAGUAUGGAAGGAAGCCAAAGGACCCAUCUGGAUCCAUGCUUUCUGAGUUAUAGCUCCUGUUUACAACUGCUCUGUCAAAAGAAGUCUAGAACUCAGUCUUUAAACUUCAGUCUGGAGCCACCAACAGCAGUCUGGUCCUGCUUUGUCUAAUGUGGCAUUGCACUGAUGGCUGCUGCCACUGAAGAUAUUGAAAAGUUCAGAAGAUUUUGCUGCAUGACACACGCAGAGGUGAAACUGACAAUUUCAUUCACAACGUGUUCCCAGCUGCUUGGUAAAUUGAGAUCAAGCACCUUCAUCUUAAUGAACUGCGGGACUUUGGGUGAAUGCUGAAAAACAAAACAACACACCAAGAUUCAAAGCAUUCAGUCAUUUUGCUUUUCUGCUGGCUUCCCAAACAGAUGUCAGCCCAAUUGCCUCAGUGAUGUGAGUCCUCAGUGGCAGAAUACAACCUGAAUUUUUCUCACCAUAAAACAUGGCAAGAACUUCUGUUCUUUUUGCACCAGGUUGAAAGCAAGAGCCACUAGAUUUUUUAUGAAAAACAGACAAAAUCACACUCAAUAGUAGUUUCCAUUUGCACCAAGGAUAUAGAAGACUGCAGGACAGCCUUGCUUUCCAUUUUGGAGAGCAGAGACAUGGCUUUCCCAUGUUUCCAGUGUAUGUCCUAAUCCUUUAGCUGUUUUGGAAGUAGAUUUUCUCAGUCUUUCUUGUGAGAACUUGAUCAUUUGUAUAAAUAAUUCAACACCAUAAUGAUAAUAUCCCACUUUUUUUUUAAUAAAUAAUCCUUUAAAUAAUCA
rnacentral:lncRNA from 1 species